UGAACUAAAUUAGUAGCAAUUUAUUAUAAAUACUAAACUCAUUAUAACUCUCUGCCACUUCAGUGAGCAUUACAAAUUCAAAAAAAAAUAAUAAUCUCCAAUCUCUCGACAAAACCAUUUUUCUCUUCUCUAAUCGUUUCAAAUAGGGUGGAUCGAAGCAUGCAACUCCUCGACAAGAUCCACUAGAUGCAACAAGAGGUUUAAUGCUUAACAUCUUAUCUAUUUUUUUCAUAUUUGUUUACUAAUCAUGUAUAUAUAUCGAUAUUAUUGAUUGAUUUGCAUUUGAUUUUUUUAAAGGGUAUGG
rnacentral:lncRNA from 1 species